rnacentral:lncRNA from 1 species
AACAGUACAUCUAAUAGUAAUAACAAUGUAAAUAAUAUAACUACAAGUGUAUACCAUAAUAAAAGAAAAGGAAUGGAUAUAACAUAUCCCAAUAUAAAAAAAAAAAAAAAGAUAUAUGUACCAUAUCAUCAAUUAAUAAUUCUCAAAAUGACGUACUUGAAAAUGUUUUGGCUCAUAACAAUUUAGCAUGUCAUAAUCAAAAAGAAAAUUUUAUUUCGGGCAUAAAAAGUCAUAACAAUGAUAAGCAAAUAAAUCCGUUACAAAUAAGUACUGAAGAAAAGAGUGAAACCAUACAAGUACAUAAUGUACAAACAAAGGAAAUCCAAAACGAUGGUAUGAAGACGCUCACAAAUAUGUUUUCAAAUAACAAUGAAAAUAUUACGCACGAAAAAAAUACCUUUUCAAAUAAUGAUAACAAAGAUGUGCACAACAAUAAUAUACAAUUCGUAAGUGUUAGGAGUGCGUAUGAAAAUAUGAAAAAGAAAUUUUUUUUUCCUGAUGAACAAUUGGACGAAUGGAUGGGCGAACUGACAAAUUUAUCAAAAAAAAAAAAACCAAUAAAAAUAGAAACGGUAAAAUUAGCAGAAUCGGAAAAAACAAAUUACAUAAGAAACAAUAAAACUAAAAUAACUCGUUUAUUAUUUGACAAAACGUGUUAUAACAAUUUAAUGAAUAAUAAUAAUUCAAUAACAAACAAACUAAAUGAAACUGUGAACACUACAGAUAGUAACAUAAAUAAUAUAAAACCAAAUGAAAUUGGUUUCAUAAAAAAUAAUAACAUUUAUAACAAUAGUACUAACGAUGAUAAUAGUUUAUCUAUAACAAAAUUACAUUUGCUAAAUAAUACAAAUGAACAUGUACUACCAAAUGAUUUAUUACAAAAAGUGACAGAUAAAAAUAACGGAGUAGCACAUACUACAACAACUUUUUCAAAUUCUUUAGCCCAACAUAUAGAUACCAUAAACAAAAAAAACGUAGUAGUAGAAAAAAAAAAUGAACAACCAACAUAUAUUUCUAAUUCUUUUAGUGUAACGAACAAAUCAUUUAAUAAUUUUUUGGAUAAUAUAUAUAAAACCAACGAAACAAAAGAUAAUAGUAAAAAUAAAGAAAAUUGUCCAAAUGACCCAAAUGACCCAAAUGACCCAAAUAACAUAAUUAGUCAAGAAUGUAAACAGCUUAAAGAUAUAAAUAUCGAUUGUACACUAAACAAAUUAAGUUACAAUUAUCAUCCAAAGAAAAAAAAAAAAAAUACAUUUGAUUAUUUUAAAGAGAAAAAAAAUACACCUACAUAUAACCCAUAUGAACAUAAUGAUGUAUGAAUACAAUAAAAUAUAAAUUAAUUAUGUA